UGGGGAAUAUUGCACAAUGGGCGCAAGCCUGAUGCAGCCAUGCCGCGUGCAUGAUGAAGGCCUUCGGGUUGUAAAGUACUUUCAGCGGGGAGGAAGGGAGUAAAGUUAAUACCUUUGCUCAGUGACGUUACCCGCAGAAGAAGCACCGGCUAACUCCGUGCCAGCAGCCGCGGUAAUACGGAGGGUGCAAGCGUUAAUCGGAAUUACUGGGCGUAAAGCGCACGCAGGCGGUUUGUUAAGUCAGAUGUGAAAUCCCCGGGCUCAACCGGGGAACUGCAACUGAUACUGGCAAGCUUGAGUCACGUAGAGGGGGGUAGAAUGCCAGGUGUAGCGGUGAAAUGCGUAGAGAUCUGGAGGAAUACCGGUAGCGAAGGCAGCCCGCUGGACGAAGACUGACGCUGAGGUGCGAAAGCGUGGGGAGCGAACAGG
rnacentral:rRNA from 1 species